CAAAUCACGUUGAAACACCGGUUCCCGUACGAUCAUCGAAGUUAAGCAACGUCGAGUUUGGUUAGUAGCUAGACCAUAUAGGAAUACCAGGUGCUGUAA